CCAAGACGUGACCUCACUUCCUUGGCAACAUCUCCAAACAGAACCUGGAACCCUUGUUAACGGGCAUCACAAUCUAGUACCAACUGUCUCCCAAGCUCACUUGGCUGGAGAUGGUCAACAGCAAACAUGCUGAGCUGCUUCUCCACUUCGAGAAGCCGCAGCCUCAGGACCCCAGUCAAAGAAAGUAUCUGUGAAAGAUUGAGAAGAUGCCUGACUCCAUCCAGUUGCUGCAGGACUGCCACAGUCACUCCAGUGAAGGUCUCCCCAGGAGUGGGCACCAGUGACCUACUACAAUCAAGUCAUCUUCAGGAGCAUGUUCAGUUUCCAUGAACUCUGAUUCAACCCUGCUGUUCCCAGGCAGUUAAGCAACAGGAGGGAGAGGUCUUGUCCUCAGCACGUAUGAUGGGAAAAUUGCCAGAACUGAGAAAGAGCUCCUUACGUCAACACUAACAGAAAAGAAGUAAAUAAAGGCAGGAGGUUGUUAAGGAAGGGCUCCUUGGCUGACGCUCUCAUGAUGACUGUCGCAAAAGGGUGCCUGAACCAUCAGCUCCGACAGAGGCCACUGCAGCCUUGUACAAAGAGCACUCGGACAAGGACAACUGCUUGGCAACUGCCUAUUCCACCUCGGCUGACGUGUUCUUGUUAUGACUCCUUGUGGCCAAGCAUUCUGUUUCAAAAUAUCUGACAUAGUCCUCUUUUUUUUUUGUCUUUAGCUUUUCUUUAACUCUUUAACUUGCCUCAGCCUCCUUGGACAUUCCCAUUGAAAGGCUCUGUGAUUCUCAUUGUAGUGUUAUUCCCAAAUAAAUAUGACUAUUCUUCAGAAAACCUGUUUUUCUUUUUAAUUUACAUCGACAUUGGG
rnacentral:lncRNA from 1 species